rnacentral:rRNA from 1 species
ACGAACGCUGGCGGCGUGCCUAAUACAUGCAAGUAGAACGCUGAAGAGAGGAGCUUGCUCUUCUUGGAUGAGUUGCGAACGGGUGAGUAACGCGUAGGUAACCUGCCUUGUAGCGGGGGAUAACUAUUGGAAACGAUAGCUAAUACCGCAUAACAAUGGAUGACACAUGUCAUUUAUUUGAAAGGGGCAAUUGCUCCACUACAAGAUGGACCUGCGUUGUAUUAGCUAGUAGGUGAGGUAACGGCUCACCUAGGCGACGAUACAUAGCCGACCUGAGAGGGUGAUCGGCCACACUGGGACUGAGACACGGCCCAGACUCCUACGGGAGGCAGCAGUAGGGAAUCUUCGGCAAUGGGGGCAACCCUGACCGAGCAACGCCGCGUGAGUGAAGAAGGUUUUCGGAUCGUAAAGCUCUGUUGUAAGUCAAGAACGAGUGUGAGAGUGGAAAGUUCACACUGUGACGGUAGCUUACCAGAAAGGGACGGCUAACUACGUGCCAGCAGCCGCGGUAAUACGUAGGUCCCGAGCGUUGUCCGGAUUUAUUGGGCGUAAAGCGAGCGCAGGCGGUUUGAUAAGUCUGAAGUUAAAGGCUGUGGCUCAACCAUAGUUCGCUUUGGAAACUGUCAAACUUGAGUGCAGAAGGGGAGAGUGGAAUUCCAUGUGUAGCGGUGAAAUGCGUAGAUAUAUGGAGGAACACCGGUGGCGAAAGCGGCUCUCUGGUCUGUAACUGACGCUGAGGCUCGAAAGCGUGGGGAGCGAACAGGAUUAGAUACCCUGGUAGUCCACGCUGUAAACGAUGAUUACUAGGUGUUGGAGGAUUGACCCCUUCAGUGCCGCAGUUAACACAAUAAGUAAUCCACCUGGGGAGUACGACCGCAAGGUUGAAACUCAAAGGAAUUGACGGGGGCCCGCACAAGCAGUGGAGUAUGUGGUUUAAUUCGAAGCAACGCGAAGAACCUUACCAGGUCUUGACAUCCUACUAACGAGAUAGAGAUAUGUUAGGUGCCCUUCGGGGAAAGUAGAGACAGGUGGUGCAUGGUUGUCGUCAGCUCGUGUCGUGAGAUGUUGGGUUAAGUCCCGCAACGAGCGCAACCCCUAUUGUUAGUUGCCAUCAUUCAGUUGGGCACUCUAGCGAGACUGCCGGUAAUAAACCGGAGGAAGGUGGGGAUGACGUCAAAUCAUCAUGCCCCUUAUGACCUGGGCUACACACGUGCUACAAUGGUUGGUACAACGAGUUGCGAGUCGGUGACGGCAAGCUAAUCUCUUAAAGCCAAUCUCAGUUCGGAUUGUAGGCUGCAACUCGCCUACAUGAAGUCGGAAUCGCUAGUAAUCGCGGAUCAGCAUGCCGCGGUGAAUACGUUCCCGGGCCUUGUACACACCGCCCGUCACACCAUGGGAGUUGGGAGUGCCCAAAGCCGGUGAGGCAACCGCAAGGAGCCAGCCGUCUAAGGCAAGACCAAUGACUGGGGUG